UACGGAGGGUGCAAGCGUUAAUCGGAAUUACUGGGCGUAAAGCGCACGCAGGUGGCUGAGUCAGUCGAUUGUGAAAGCCCUGGGCUUAACCUGGGAAUUGCAGUCGAUACUACUCGGCUUGAGUAUGGGAGAGGGCAGUGGAAUUCUCGGUGUAGCGGUGAAAUGCGUAGAGAUGUGGAGGAAUACCGAUGGCGAAGGCAGCCCCCUGGGCUAACACUGACGCUCAUGCACGAAAGCGUGGGGAGCAAACAGG
rnacentral:rRNA from 1 species